GACGAACGCUGGCGGCGUGCUUAACACAUGCAAGUCGAACGGAAAGGCCCAGCUUGCUGGGUACUCGAGUGGCGAACGGGUGAGUAACACGUGGGUGAUCUGCCCUGAACUUCGGGAUAAGCCUGGGAAACUGGGUCUAAUACCGGAUAUGACCAUUGGUUGCAUGACUUUUGGUGGAAAGCUUUUGCGGUUCAGGAUGGGCCCGCGGCCUAUCAGCUUGUUGGUGAGGUAACGGCUCACCAAGGCGACGACGGGUAGCCGACCUGAGAGGGUGAUCGGCCACACUGGGACUGAGACACGGCCCAGACUCCUACGGGAGGCAGCAGUGGGGAAUAUUGCACAAUGGGCGCAAGCCUGAUGCAGCGACGCCGCGUGGGGGAUGACGGCCUUCGGGUUGUAAACCUCUUUCGGCAGGGACGAAGCGCAAGUGACGGAACCUGCAGAAGAAGCACCGGCCAACUACGUGCCAGCCGCCGCGGUAACAC
rnacentral:rRNA from 1 species